GUGAAUGAUGGCCCCACAAUAGGGAGAAGGGGGAAGACUGGGAAGGCCCACAUGGACUCUUGCUGGACCCUGGAGAAUAAGGAACUGAGGUGCAGAGUGAACCCAGAAAUGAGGAAGUGGACUUAAGCGAACGAUCUGGAUACUUAGAAUAUCAUUCUUCCAUUUACGUAGCUGGUGAAGGGCCAACAAGAAAGACCACACGCCAAGCCCUUCAUUCUGGGGACUGCUCUUCUCAGAAAGGCAAAGAAAUAGCACGGCCAAGCAUCAAGAAAUGGAGACUGGAUAUUGAGGACUAGCUCCUGAGUCUGUACAGUCCUGCCCCGCCAGCCCAGAAGAACACACGGGAUGAGGAACACCAGAAGCCUCCUGAGAAGCUGCAGUGCUGAGAAGAGUCUGAUUUGGGAAGAGCAUCGAGUUCCCAGCCUGGUGACCCUGAACAAGCCCGCGCUUCCCUGGUCCUUGAUUUUCUCUCCACCGAUCCUCUGACUGCUUUUGUGCCUCAUGCACUCCAGCCUAUGACUAACACCUCCUUGGGCUGUGCAUCUGAAGACACCCU